rnacentral:tRNA from 1 species
GGGGAUUUAGCUCAGCGGCACAGCACCUGCCUGGCAAGCAUGAAGUCCUAGUUCAAUUCCCA